AGAUUCGAAAAACUUAGCCAAACCGCCCUAGGUAUGGGGCCGCAGGCAGCAGCAGAGGAGUCUGAUAGGUAAGAAGGGUCAAUUGAGAGUUCCUCCCUGCUGGGCUCAGGAGGACUCAGACUGACCCAGUGAUGGCCCACAUUGAACUGGAGAAUCUUGGACCAGAUUUUGGAGGGCUUUGAUUCUGCACAUGCUGGAUGAGGUGUCAGAAAAAUAUGACUUACCACUAGCAAAAAUAUCCCUUCACUUUCUUGAGGAGGAGGCAAAAGGCAAAACACAGAAAGGGGGUGAGUGAGGAUACUGAGUCUCAGAAAGGUUAAGUGAGUUGCCCGAACUUACAGUACUACUAAGUGGAGAAGCCGACUUUUGGAUCUCAUGGACCGCACAUCUAUUCCAGGUGUGGACGCUUAGCCAAUAAGCUAUAAUGCCUCCCAGGAAAGGAUGUGCUUUGAGGUGACCCUUGAACAUGGGUAGAAUUGGGAUAAUCAGAGAUAAGGAAGGACAAUGUGGAGUUCCUGUCCUGGCUGGAGGAAACGAAUCUGACUAGUAUCCAUAAGGACACAGGUUCAAUCCCUGGCCUUGAUCAGAGGGUUAAGGAUACAGCAUUGCCAUGAGCUGUGGUGUAGGUCGCAGACACUGCUUGGAUCCCACGUUGCUUUGGCUAUGGGGUAGGCUGGAAGCUGCAGCUCUGAUUCGACACCUAGCUUGGGAACCUUCAUAUGCCAUGAGUUCAGCCCUAAAAAGCAGGGAAAAAAAAAAAAAAGUUACAAUGUAUGUAUGAAGGCAGGAGUGUCAAAAAGAAAUAUAAAACUGGAAGUGUUCAUACCAGGAGUUGAAAUACAUUUUUUUAAAAGUCUUUUUAGGGCCACAUCCUCGGCAUACAGAGGUUCCCAGGCUAGGGGUCUAAUUGGAGCUGUAGUCUCUGGCCUAUGCCACAACCACACCAACAACAGAUCCUCAACCCACUGAGCGAAGCCAGGGAUUGAACCUGCAACCUCAUGGUUCCUAGUAGGAUUCGUUUCUGCUGCACCACAACGGGAACUCCAGGAGUUGAAAUACAUUAAAAUAUGUGCACAUUUGGGAGAGGGUUGAAGGAGUUUUAAAAAAUACUGAAAAGUACAUAGAAGAAAAUAAUUCACCCUUGUUUUCAUCUUGCCUAUUUACAUUGUUUUGUUUUCAAAUUAAAACUACUUAAAAACUUAUACAUGCUCAUUAUAAGGAAUAUAAACAGUAUAGCAGGUACAACAAUAAAAGCUUUUAAAAGCUCCCCAAAUCCUAUCUAAAAAUUGUUACUACUAAUAUUAGGGAAAAUAUUAUUAGAUACAUUUUCUUUGAAUUUAUACAGGGAGGAGGAUGGAUGGACAGAUGGAAAAUGAUGUCUCAGUAUAGUUUUCAUUUGUAUUUUUAUUAGGGAGGUACAGAAUCUUCUCAUAUGUUUAAAAGUCAUCUGUACUUCAAUAUCUGUAUUAUUUAUAUUUCUUGCCCAAUUUUCUAUUGAGGUUGCUUAUCUCAUUUAUUUGUAGGAGGUCUUUUUAUACUAAGUAAAUUAGCUCUUUAUUAUAUGGGUUGGAAAUGAACUCAUUUAAUAAUUGGCCAGAUUUAAUUUUUAAAUUGUUUCUUUCAAAAAGGAUUUAUGGGUACCUUAUUGCUUGACUUUAAUAUUCAAGAAUGUUUAUUUCCAUUAUGUCUGAAAAUUUCUUUAAAAAAUUAAUUUUUGUGAUUAAAAUAUAUACAA
rnacentral:lncRNA from 1 species